rnacentral:rRNA from 1 species
AGUCGUAACAGUUCCGUAGGUGAACCUGCGGAAGGAUCAUUGUUGAU